UGCCGGUAUGAGUAGCGAAAGACAGGUGAGAAUCCUGUCCGCCGAAAGACUAAGGUUUCCUGGGGCAGGCUCGUCCGCCCAGGGUAAGUCGGGACCUAAGGCAAGGCCGAGAGGCGUAGUCGAUGGAUAACAGGUAGAAAUUCCUGUACUGUGUUUAAUCGUUAUGAGCGAUGGAGGGACGCAGGAGGUGAAACACGCAUCGAGCUGGAUCGAUGUUCAAGCAACAAGUGCGGUUAAGAGUCAAAUGCUUCUAACCAGCAACACGAGUUGUGAUGAGUAGCGAAGUAAUAGUAGCGAAGGUGAUGUAAUCACACUGCCAAGAAAAGCUUCUAGCCAGAGAGGACACACCCGUACCGCAAACCGACACAGGUAGUCGAGUGGAGAACACUAAGGUGAGCGAGAGAACUCUCGUUAAGGAACUCGGCAAAAUGACCCCGUAACUUCGGAAGAAGGGGUGCUGGCCACGAGAGUGGUUAGCCGCAGUGAAUAGGCCCAAACAACUGUUUAUCAAAAACACAGGUCUCUGCAAAAUCGUAAGAUGACGUAUAGAGGCUGACACCUGCCCGGUGCUGGAAGGUUAAGAGGAGAGCUUAGCGAAAGCGAAGGUUCGAAUUGAAGCCCCAGUAAACGGCGGCCGUAACUAUAACGGUCCUAAGGUAGCGAAAUUCCUUGUCGGGUAAGUUCCGACCUGCACGAAAGGUGUAAUGAUUUGGGCACUGUCUCAACGAGAGACUCGGUGAAAUUAUAAUACCCGUGAAGAUGCGGGUUACCCGCGACAGGACGGAAAGACCCCAUGGAGCUUCACUGUAGCUUGAUAUUGAGUAUCUUUUAAACAUGUACAGGAUAGGUAGGAGCCAAGGAAGGCAGGACGCUAGUUUUGCUGGAGGCAAUGUUGGGAUACUACCCUUGUUUGAAGGAUGCUCUAACCUCGACCUGUAAGCCAGGUCAGGGACAGUGUCAGGUGGGCAGUUUGACUGGGGCGGUCGCCUCCUAAAGUGUAACGGAGGCGCUCAAAGGUUCCCUCAGAAUGGUUGGAAAUCAUUCGCAGAGUGUAAAGGUAUAAGGGAGCUUGACUGCGAGAGAAACAGCUCGAGCAGGGACGAAAGUCGGACUUAGUGAUCUGGUGGUACCGUAUGGAAGGGCCAUCACUCAACGGAUAAAAGCUACCCUGGGGAUAACAGGCUUAUCUCCCCCAAGAGUUCACAUCGACGGGGAGGUUUGGCACCUCGAUGUCGGCUCGUCGCAUCCUGGGGCUGAAGUCGGUCCCAAGGGUUGGGCUGUUCGCCCAUUAAAGCGGCACGCGAGCUGGGUUCAGAACGUCGUGAGACAGUUCGGUCCCUAUCCGUCGUGGGCGUAGGAAAUUUGAGAGGAGCUGUCCUUAGUACGAGAGGACCGGGAUGGACGCACCGCUGGUGUACCAGUUGUUCCGCCAGGAGCAUCGCUGGGUAGCUAUGUGCGGAAGGGAUAAGCGCUGAAAGCAUCUAAGUGCGAAGCCCCCCUCAAGAUGAGAUUUCCUUUGCAAUAGCAGUAAGACACCUCAAAGACGAUGAGGUAGAUAGGCUGGGAGUGGAAGUUCUGUGAAGAAUGGAGCGGACCAGUACUAAUCAGUCGAGGACUUGACCAA
rnacentral:rRNA from 1 species